rnacentral:rRNA from 1 species
AGUGAACGCUGGCGGUAGGCCUAACACAUGCCAGUCGAACGGCAGCACAGUAAGAUCUUGCUCUUACGGGUGGCGAGUGGCGGACGGGUGAGGAAUACAUCGGAAUCUACUUUUUCGUGGGGGAUAACGUAGGGAAACUUACGCUAAUACCGCAUACGACCUACGGGUGAAAGCAGUGGAUCUUCGGACCUUGCGCGAUUGAAUGAGCCGAUGUCGGAUUAGCUAGUUGGCGGGGUAAAGGCCCACCAAGGCGACGAUCCGUAGCUGGUCUGAGAGGAUGAUCAGCCACACUGGAACUGAGACACGGUCCAGACUCCUACGGGAGGCAGCAGUGGGGAAUAUUGGACAAUGGGCGAAAGCCUGACCCAGCCAUACCGCGUGGGUGAAGAAGGCCUUCGGGUUGUAAAGCCCUUUUGUUGGGAAAGAAAAGAAGCAGGUUAAUACCCCGCUGUUCUGACGGUACCCAAAGAAUAAGCACCGGCUAACUUCGUG